CCCGAAAUUCAACCGAACCAGAGAUCCUGAACUCGAGUACCUCUCCAAAUUCACAGUCAGCGGACUCUGGACUCUUUGCUACACCAAUCCUGGAGAAACGGAACGCUACUGUUUCAACAUCGAUUAUUUCCCAACGGAAGAGUACAGUCCCGAUCCCAAUGACUCGACACUCUCAAUCCCUUAUGCGGUCUUGAGGUCGGCUCCGU